GGGCCGUUAGCUCAGCUGGCAGAGCAGCGGACUUUUAAUCCGUGGGUCCUGGGUUCGAUCCCCAGACGGCCCA
rnacentral:tRNA from 5 species